GUGAGGAAUAUUGGUCAAUGGGCGUAAGCCUGAACCAGCCAAGUCGCGUGAGGGACGACGGCCCUACGGGUUGUAAACCUCUUUUGCCGGGGGACAAACGGCGGCACGCGUGCCGUCCUGAGGGUACCCGGAGAAAAAGCAUCGGCUAACUCCGUGCCAGCAGCCGCGGUAAUACGGAGGAUGCGAGCGUUAUCCGGAUUUAUUGGGUUUAAAGGGUGCGUAGGCGGGAUGCCAAGUCAGCGGUCAAAUACGGGGGCUCAACCUGCGUCCGCCGUUGAAACUGGCGUUCUUGAGUGGGCGAGAAGUACGCGGAAUGCGUGGUGUAGCGGUGAAAUGCAUAGAUAUCACGCAGAACCCCGAUUGCGAAGGCAGCGUACCGGCGCCCGACUGACGCUGAAGCACGAAAGCGUGGGUAUCGAACAGG
rnacentral:rRNA from 1 species